UUCGCAAUGCCCGAAAGGGUGACGAAGCGACGCCGCGUGUGGGAAGAAGGCCUUCGGGUUGUAAACCACUGUCGGGAGUUAAGAAAUGCAAGGAUAUGAAUAGUGUCUUUGCUUGACUAAGGCUCCGGAGGAAGCCACGGCUAACUCUGUGCCAGCAGCCGCGGUAAUACAGAGGCGGCAAGCGUUGUUCGGAAUUAUUGGGCGUAAAGAGCACGUAGGCGGCUAUGUAAGUCGGUUGUGAAAGCCUUCCGCUCAACGGGAGAACAGCAUCCGAUACUACAUGGCUUGAGUGCGGGAGGGGAGAGUGGAACUUCUGGUGGAGCGGUGAAAUGCGUAGAUAUCAGAAGGAACGCCGGCGGCGAAAGCGACCCUCUGGUCUGCUACUGACGCUGAGGGUGCGAAAGCUAGGGGAGCAAACGGGAUUAGAUACCCCGGUAGUCCUAGCCGUAAACGAUGGGCACUAAGUAGAGGGGUUUU
rnacentral:rRNA from 1 species